rnacentral:tRNA from 1 species
GGGUCGUGUGCAGGUCCGGUGAUUGCGGCGGUCUGAAAAUCCGCAGAACUCGGUUCGACUCCGAGACGGCCCA